AAAAUAAUCCAUAUUCAUCAAUGUUUUCCAUGUGAAAAUAAAAAUCCUUUCCUGACCAGCUCUAGACAGUACGUAGCAGAACGCAGUUGGUAACGAAGCAAUGCUGUUCUCCUCCCAGAGACAGACGCUCUGCCAGAGAAACCAGCAGAAUGGAAACUAAUACCUUAACCCAACGGUCAGACUCGGUGUUUGUGCAGGACAAGUUUCUCUGAGGGGACGGCAUGUCAGAGACAGAUGUACUGGAGAGGAGCAGGGAACUUUUGGAGAUGGGACAGAUGCUGCAGCUGGUACAAGUUAGAAUGUUUCCAUUUUAGAAACAGCAUCAAAAGAGUGGCCUGGUGUUAUUUGACAAAGCUGCAUGUCUGCUGAGGAGAAAGGCCCACCACAUUUUCAAGACAUCAGCUUUCUAAAAAGAACUGGCUACUUUCCUCUUAGGAAAACAAUACCCUCUACCU
rnacentral:lncRNA from 1 species